CAAAAAAAUGUACCCAUACCUAAAUUCUGUCUACUGUGAUCAAUAAUUUCCUUUAUUUUUUAGAGUGGAUUUCUUUUAAAUCCAAAGUCACUGGAAUGUGUCAUCCUUAUGUGACUGGAAUUGCCAUAAAAACGUCAGGACAUAAGUGCCACAUACCUGACGUGUGGCACCUAUCAUUUAGGUAAAAUAAUAAUGAUAGGCUGUGUGUUUCUAAAAAAUAAUUAGUAGUAUAACCCAAAAGGUUCUUGCAGACCUAAUUUGAGAGAGAAACUACUGAAUGCACUCACUGUAGUUCCUGUUGGAAAUUAUUGGGGUGGUCGCGGUCACAUGCAUGAUGCAUGGCUGGCCGGCUUAGAUUUCCUUUCGUACGAGUAGAAAAUAGAAAAGCAAGUAUAUACAUAAUAAAGAAGAAAGAUGCCCCUCCACCAGCUGAUGCCCGGGCGGGUGAUGACGGUGGAGUGCGCGUGUGGCGACCGCCGUACCAAAAAGGACCCGUUCCGUUCUGUACUACCCCUACGUCCUCAGUACACACCUGGCCCUGAUAAGCACUCUCCCAGAAGAAACGAUAAGAUAUGAUGAUGGGGAACAGCCGAGCCGAGCUGAUCUGAUCUGAUCUCAUCCCAUCUCGCCUCCUUUUCCGUUUGGAAGGUUGCUUGAUAGCCUCCCUCCCAGCCCGGCCCUUUCCUGGGAAGGCUCCAUCUGCGGCUCCGCCUGGCUGUCCCUGCCUCCGCCUCCGGUACCUACCUGCCGACGCAUCAGCGGGCCCACCCGUCUGUUGUCCCCAUCCGGCAGUGGCACCCUCACGUCCACGCCAUGUCCGUGGGUGCGGAUAAGGACUGUUUUCAAGAUCUCCCAAAGAGAUUUGAAAGAACAAAAACUACUCCCUUCCUUCCGUGAAAAGUGUAUGUAUAAUUUUUUUAAGAUAAAUUACAAAGUGGAGUAAAACAUUGCAUUGAAAAGGUUCAAGCCGUCAUCUCUCCUCUUUAAUUACCCAAUCCCAAUGAGAUAAGUGCGUGUAGAAAUUAAGAAAACGAUGUGUAGAAUGUUAUCGAUCUUGAUUAUCGCGUGAUGAGAGAGAAACAUGUUUUUCUGCUUUAAAGUGCAAUGGUAAUAUAAAAGUACAUUCUUUUGUGGUCAAAUUUUAAAUCCAAAUAUACACUCUUCACCGGACGGAGGGAAUAUGUUGACAUUCAUGGAAUGGGACCAGUCUACAAAAAAGGACAUCUCUGUCGGCCCAGUGAAAACCAGGGUGCCACGGGCCCACUGCCUACGGCUUAGGAAGCGACACCUAAAGAAGACCUUGAGAGGCGGCCCAGCCGUGGGCGCCGCGAAGCAAGCCACCUCGUGAGGACCAUGCCUCGUGAGGACCCUCGCCACGAGGCGAGACUACCGAGGACAACAUCAAGCGGCCNNNNNNNNNNNNNNNNNNNNNNNNNNNNNNNNNNNNNNNNNNNNNNNNNNNNNNNNNNNNNNNNNNNNNNNNNNNNNNNNNNNNNNNNNNNNNNNNNNNNNNNNNNNNNNNNNNNNNNNNNNNNNNNNNNNNNNNNNNNNNNNNNNNNNNNNNNNNNNNNNNNNNNNNNNNNNNNNNNNNNNNNNNNNNNNNNNNNNNNNNNNNNNNNNNNNNNNGACCCCCCGCAAGGCCCUUCGCGCGGGAGGCUGCACGGCGUCGGUCGCGUGGCCAUGUGCCCAACACGUGGGUGACGCGCCGCGCCAGAUGAUGCCAGCGAAGACCGUGCCAGCAGGCGCUGCCAGAGUAGAUUUCCUCUUUGGUGAUAAGGGAGCAACGGCGCCUGCCUCCCCACAGAGCGAGCUCCAAAGGUUACCACUUCGGUGCAAGAAGGUUGGGAAGACACGGCGCACUAGGACAGGCAUCAUCGCUAGGCCAACCCGCGUGUCAGAAUAGCGUCUUUAACAGGAGAAGACAACUUUUUUCAGGCUAAGGCUGAGCAUCCGUCCCACUUUGAAUUGCCAUUGUGUGGCAACCCAUCCCGCAAAUGUUCUCGAGGGAAGAGGACCAAGGCAACUAUAAAAGGGCCAGUGCUGCCACCAUAGAAGGGGAUCGCGCAAUUGACCCCCGAGACUCACCUUGUAGCUCCAAGAGCACCGUCUCCACAAGCAAUCCCACGAAGCAGGAAUAGGGUUUUACACCUCACGGUGGCUCGAAACUGGGUAGCUCGUUGUGUCCCUGUCGUGUCUUGCGUCCCUCCGUCGUGCCUCGCUUACUGUAGCCACGCCAAGCUCAUCGUCUAGUGCUAGGUCACGAACCACGACCCAGAGUUCGAACAAGGGUUUUGGAGCAUUUCCUGUAGCAGAAAUCAAUCCACCGACAUUUGGCGCGCCAGGUAGGGGCCUUGGUUUCCUGCCUUCAGCCUCGAUAUUGACAUGGCCGACACACGACGCGAGCGCGCCCUGCGUAGGGCCUGUCAGGUCUAGACGGAGCCCAUCAUCAACUACAACCUUCCGGGUCUAGACGAAGCAAAUGAUUCACAAAAGGAAGCUACUAUCUCCGAGUCAAGUCCAUAUUUAGUACUAAACUUAUGAAAAGCAUUUGUUUCCAUAAAAGAUUCAACACAAUCAAACUCAAGUUUUACACCUCACUCAUUACCUUUGUUGAAUUCUCAAUCUUUAGAGUUGCGUUUAAUUCUUUCCAGAAGAUACCAUUUGAAUUCAAUAGUUUUCUUCAUAAAGGAGCCAACAGAAGAAGUAUCGAGUAUGGAUCGAUCAUUAUGAGAAAGCCGAGCAUAAAAGUUUUGAAUAAUAUUUUUUUCUUGAGAGCUCAUGAUUGGGGCAUGUGUGCAUCCUGGACUUAAGCCUCCCCCAAGCUUGAGUGAUAAUUUCGCCUUCACGAGGCCAAUAUAUAUAUAUAUAUAUAUAUAUAUAUAUAUAUAUAUAUAUAUAUAUAUAUAUAUAUAUAUAAUUCUGGUCAUAAUGAACCAAAUGCAUAUGAUAGAACUUAUAGUGAAACUCCAAUUUCAACCGGUUCCAUUCUCAUGUUCCAAUUGAAGCAAAUAUGCCCUAGAGGCAAUAAUAAAGUUGUUAUUUAUAUUUCCUUAUAUCAUGAUAAAUGAUUAUUAUUCAUGCAAGAAUUGUAUUAAUCGGAAACUUAGUACAUGUGUGAAUACAUAGACAAACAGAGUGUCCCUAGUAUGCCUCUACUAGACUAGCUCAUUAAUCAAAGAUGGUUAAGUUUCCUGACCAUAAAUAUGUGUUGUCAUUUGAUGAACGGGAUCACAUCAUUAGAGAAUGAUGUGAUGGACAAGACCCAUCUGUUAGCUUAGCAUAAUGAUUGUUUAGUUUUAUUGCUAUUGCUUUCUUCAUGACUUAUACAUGUUCCUCUGACUAUGAGAUUAUGCAACUCCCGAAUACCGGAAGAACACCUUAUAUGCUAUCAAACGUCACAACGUAAUUGGGUGAUUAUAAAGAUGCUCUACAGGUGUCUCCAAUGGUGUUUGUUGAGUUGGCAUAGAUCGAGAUUAGGAUUUGUCACUCCAUGUAUCGGAGAGGUAUCUCUGGGCCCUCUCGGUAAUGCACAUCACUAUGAGCCUUGCAAGCAAUGUGACUAAUGAGUUAGUUGCGGAAUGAUGCAUUACAGAACGAGUAAAGAGACUUGCCGGUAACGAGAUUGAACUAGGUAUGAUGAUACCGACGAUCGAAUCUCGGUUAAGUAACAUAGUGAUGACAAAGGGAACAACAUAUGUUGUUAUGCGGUUUGACCGAUAAAGAUCUUCAUAGAAUAUGUAGGAGCCAAUAUGAGCAUCCAGGUUCUGCUAUUGGUUAUUGACCGGAGAUGUGUCUCGGUCAUGUCUACAUAGUUCUCGAACCCAUAGGGUCCGCACGCUUAACGUUCGAUGACGAUUUGUAUUAUGAGUUAUGUGGUUUGAUGACCGAAGUUUGUUCGUUGUCCCGGAUGAGAUCAUGGACAUGACGAGGAGUCUUGAAAUGGUGAGAGGUGAAGAUUCAUAUAUUGAAAGGUUAUAUUCGGACACCGGAAUGGUUUCGGGAAGUAUCAGAUAAGUUUCGAAGUACCGGGGGUUACCGGACCCCCCCCCCCCGGAAGUUAAUGGGCCACACAUGGGCCUUAGUGGAGGAGAGAGGGUCAGCCAGGGAGGUGCCCCCCCCUUGCCAAUCCCAAUUGGACAAGGGGUGGGGGCGGUGCCCCCCUUUCCCUCUCCUACUCCUCUUCUCUUUUCCUCUUUGUUAUUCCGAAAAAGGUAAAAGGAAAGGGGAAUCCUACUUGGACUAGGGAGUCCUAGUAGGCCUCCCCACACCUGGCGCACCCCCUUGGGCCGGCCACCUCUCCUCCCCCCUUUAUAUAUGUGGGAAGGGGGCACCCCAAAGACACACCAAGUCUUCUCUUAGCCGUGUGCGGUGCCCCCUCCAUAGUUACACACCUCGGUCAUAUCGUUGUAGUGCUUAGGCGAAGCCCUGCACCGGUAACUUCAUCAUCACCAUCGACACGUUGUCGUGCUGAAGAAACUCUCCCUCGUCCUCAACUGGAACAAGAGCUCGAGGGACGUCAUCAUGCUGAACGUGUGCUGAACACGGAGGUGCCGUACGUUCGGUGCUAGGAUCGGUUGGAUCACGAAGACGUUCAACUACAUCAAACGAAUUACUAAACGCUUCCGCUUUCGUUCUACGAGGGUACGUGGACACACUCUUUACUCUCGUUGCUAUGAAUCUCCUAGAUAGAUGUUGCGUGAUCGUAGGAAUUUUUUUGAAAUACUACGUUCCCCAACACCAAUAUCAUCCAAUAGCCUAUACCAUGUCAAUGCCUUCCCUCCAAAGACAAUUGGAAAACCUUCUUCUUAACCCCAUCCUCGGAUAAACCUGCAAGCUUAAACAAUCGAUAAAGUUCUUCUGCAUAGAUUAAGUGCAUAUCACGAUGUACUGUUCGUCUGUUCCAUCUCCUGCAUAAGGAUUAGCUAGCAAUUUUUCUAACAUACCCGAAGGAAUCUCUUAAUAAAUAUUUUCAGUAGGUUCAGUGGGUGGAAGGGCUACUCUUAAUUCUAUUUUUCGAGGUGAAGAUACCCCAAACAAACCACUCAAAGGAUUAUUUUCCAUAGUGACAAGUGACAGAAAAUUUCAGCACGUAAUAUAAAUGUUUCCUUACCAAGUUCCACUUACCAAAGGCGCUUCACUCCCCGGCAAUGACGCCAGAUAAGAGUCUUGAUGACCCAUAAGUAUAGGGGAUCAAUCAUAGUCCUUUCGAUAAGUAAGAGUAUCAAACCCAACGAGCAACUGAAGGAAAUGACAAGCGGUUUUCAGCAAGGUAUUCUCUGCAAGUGUGGGAAGUAACAGUGAUAGAUAGUUUUAUAGCAAGAUAAUUCGUAACAAGUAACAAGUAGAAAUAGUAACAAAGGUGCAGCAAGGUGGCCCAAUAUUUUUUAUAGCAAAGGACAAGCAUGUACGUUAUCUUAUAAUAAGCAAACAAUUCCCGAGGGCACAUGGGAAUUGUUGUCUAGUCAUGUUCAUCAUGUUUAGUUGAUUCGCAUCGCUACUUUGAUAAUUUGAUAUGUGGGUGGAUCGGUGCUUGAGUGAUGUUAUUACUUGAAUAGGCAACCCACUUAUGAUUACCCCCUCUCGCAAGCAUCUGCAACUAUGAAAGAAGAAUUAAGAUAAAUCUAAUCAUAGCAUGAAACAUGUGGAUCCAAAUCAGCCCCUUACGGAAUAACGCAUAAACUAGGGUUUAAACUUCUGUCACUCUAGCAACCCAUCAUCUACUUAUUACUCCACAAUGCCUUCCCUUAGGCCCAAGUAUGGUGAAAUGUCAUGUAGCCGACGUUCACAUGACACCACUAAAGGAAGCAGCAACAUACAUAUCAUCAAAAUAUCAAACGAAUACCAACGUCACAUGAUUACUUAUGACAAGACUUCUCCCAUGUCCUCAAGAACAAAAGUACUACUCACAAAUCAUAUUCAUGUUCAAGAUCAGAGGGGUAUUGAAUUUUCUUGAGGAUCUAAACAUUUAAUCUUCCACCAAAUAAACCAACUAACAUCAACUACAAGAUGUAAUCAACACUACUAGCAACCCACAUGUACCAGUCUAAGGUUUUGGGACAACGAUUGAAUACAAGAGAUGAAAUAGGGUUUGAGAUGAGAUGGUGCUGGUGAAGAUGUUGAUGAAGAUUGGUCCUCCCACGACGAGAGGAUCGUUGGCGAUGUUGAUCGCUUCAAUUUCCCCUCCCAAAGGAAAGUUUCCCGGCGGAAUCGCUCCGUCGGAGGGCAAAAGUUUCCCCAGCGGUGCUUAGUCCUGAAAGUCUCUUCUUCUUAUUCUUUUUUCUAGGGAAAAUGGCUUCAUAUAGCAGAAGAUUGGCACCGUAGGCCUGCCAGGAGGGCCCACAAGCUCGGGGGGGUGUUCCCAGGGGGUAGGGCAUGCCCCCAGGCUUGUCGCUUCCUGGUGGGUCCCCUCCUGGUAUUUCUUCCUCCAAUAUUAUUUAUAUAUUCCAAAAAAAUCUGUGUUAAUUUUCAGGUCAUUUGGGGUUGUGCGGAGUAGCCAUCUCUGUUGUGGCCCUUUCCGAUCCAGAAUUCGAGUUGCCGACAAUCUCCCUCUUCAUGUCAAACUUGCAAAAUAAGAGAGAAGAAGGCAUAAGAAUUGCAUCAUAAAGUGAAAUAACAGUCCAGAACACAAUAAAUAACAAUAGGAAAACAUGAUGCAAAAAUGGAUGUAUCAUAGGGAUAGCGUUCUUUAGCAUUUCUAUUUUGAAAUGCAUGAUUGUUUGUUGGUAUGCAUGAGUAUUGAUUUAUGCAUAUCAAAUUAUAGACUACUUCUUUGAAUCAUCUGGAUCUUAAUAUCCAUACCAUAAAAUAAAGAUUACAUGAUGCACAUGUUAGGUAGCAUUCCACAUCAAAAAUUCUGUUUUUAUCAUUUACCUACUCCAGGACGAGUAGGAAUUAAGCUUGGGGAUGUUGAUACGUCUCCAACGUAUCUAUAAUUUUUUUGGUUUCAUGCUAUUAUAUUAUCAAUCUUAGAUACUUUAUAUACAAUUUUAUAUCAUUUUUGGGACUAAACUAUUAACUCAGUGCCUACUGCCACUUGUUGUUUUCUGCUUGUUUUUGGUUUUACAGAAAAUCUAUACCAAUCGGAGUCCCAACACGACGAAACUUUUUGACAAUUUUAUUCUAGACAUAAGAGACCCUAGAAGGUUCGGGGUGGGACCAAAAGAUCUAUGAGGAGAUGGCAAGGCAACAGGGCGCGCCCUGAUGUCUUGUGGGGCCCUUGUCACUCCGUCUAACCUAAUUUUAGUGCUAUAAAUUUCCAGAUUUUGGAAACCUCCCAGAGCAUCCAUCAAAACAUUUUGUCUACCGUCGCAACUGCAAUGCCAUUUGGAGGCUUUUUCUGGUACUCUACUAGAGGGGGAGUCGACCAUGGAGGGCCUCUACAUCAACCUUGUUGCACCUCCGAUGAUGUGUGAGUAGUUUACCACAGGCCUACGGGUAGUGGAGGAGCUAGCAUUUGACAACAGGGUGGUUCGCCGCAAAAAAAUUGAUAAGAAAAAUGACAUGUAAAUGUUCUAACUGAUUACCAAUAUCACAUAGAAAUAUAUCAAUAUGGUCUUACAAACCCACUAAAAUUCUCAAUUAAAUCUUAGUUUUGUAUAAAGAAGCAUACAUAGUAUAUACUACAUGGACAAUAAUACAUACCUUAAGAAUCCAAAAGACUACAUUUCUCGCCUACGCUUUCGCAUUGCCAUGAAGGUAUCAAUUAUAUUAUAUUCAUAGCUUCUUUCUCGAAAAGAGAAACAAUGUUUCCAGUCCUCUUCAUUCCCAAAAAUUCUACAUUUUUUACUUUCUAUCAAUAAAGCUAAUUGAGGCAGAAUAGAUAUGCAAAAUUAUAUAUGUGUUGAUGUACUGGAUAGCUUAGUGCAAAAACCCUAAAUCAGAAUUUGGGGGUAUUUUGAUACUUUAAAUCAGGUUGCUCUUGCAGUCCUGCUCGCUUGCUGGCUUGCUACGACCAGGGACUACUGUUGCUGCUACCGGCUUUGCAGGGGGCGGGGCAGGGCAAGGCAGCCCGACAGAGGAGUCAGGCAGAGGAAUGGCGAGGUGGUUGUACACCUGCCUUGUGCAAGGGCGUCGGGAGAGGCACAAGUGGUUCCGCUCGAUGUGGACGAUGGCCUGUGGGUGCGUUCGUCUAAGUGUUAUUGGGCCUUUUUCUUUUCUCUAGUCGAGCUAGAAAUGCAUAGCUAUAUAGGAUGAUGCAAAAUCCCAGGGUGUACCGUGGCCCACCCUGGCCACCCUAUAGCUCUGCUCCUGCCUACGGGUCCAUAUUGAUUAGCCAUAUCCCCCUCUCUCUGAUCUUUAAUAUAGUGUUCUCCUCGGAGUUUUAUUCGAUGUAAUCUUGUUUUGUGGUGUGUUUGUUGGGAUCUGAUGAAUUGUUGGUUUAUGAUCAGAUUAUUCAUUGAAAGUAAUUGAGUCUUUUAUGAACUUUAUGAUGUGUGAUUGUUAUAGCUUUGUAUUUCUCUCCGACCUAUCCGUUUGGUUUGGCAAACUAGAUUGAUUUAUCUUCAGCGGGAGAGGUGCUUUGGGGUAGGUUCAAUCUUGCGUUGUUCUCACCCCGUGUUAGAAGAGGUAGCGAGCCACGUAUUUGUAUUGUUGCUACUAAGGGUAAAAUAAUGGAGUUUAAUCAUAUUGCUUGGCUUUAUUCGGUCUACAUUAUGUCAUCAUACUCUCCACGCAUUACUCUGUUUGUUAUGAACUUAAUACGUAGAGAGGCAAGCAUAAAAGCACUCUCGAAGUGGAGUAGUAGUAGUAGAUGCAGGCAGGAGUCGGUCUACUUGUCACUGACGUAAUGCCUAUGUACAUUAUCAUGCCAUGAAUAGCGUCAUAACUAUGCGCUUUUCUAUUAAUUGCCCAACACUAAUUUGUUUACCCAUUGUAUGCUAUCUUUAUGAGAGAGAUGCCUCUAGUGAAAACUAUGGCCCCAGGAUCUAUUUUAAUCAUAUUGCUAAAACCAAAAAUAUCUUGGUGCAAUUUUAUUUCUUUUAUUUUACUUUGCAAUUUAUCUAUCACCUAUUACUAGGUUUGAUCCUUGCAAUUAACUAGUACAAGGGGAUUGACAACCCUCUUUCUCAUGUUGGGUACUAUUGACGGGUCUUUACAUGGUUCUCCUAUUGGUUCGAUAACCUUGGUUCUCUACUGAGGGAAAUACUAUGCAAUACUAUAUUUGUUCACCCUUCUUCUUCAGGGAAAAUCCCAACACAUCUCACAAGUAGCAGGAGGCCAUGACAGGUGUGGUGCCGAGAGGAGAUAGGGAGUGGAGGAUGUUUGGAUGCGGUUGUAGCCGAGCCUGAAGUUUAAAUAGCGGGAAAAUGGCAGGGCAAGCGAACAAGGUGGUUAAUGGUGGGUGGUAGAUGGAUUGACAGGUGGCGCCGGACCAGGUUCCUGACAACCGCACAUGUUUAAUUUAGGGAGGCAGACAGACGGGUCGUCCUUUGAACGCGCAGCAGCUGCGUGCACCGGGAAGCAUCGCUGGCGGCGCUCUCAGCCGGCAUGUGAUACGUCCAUUUUGCAUCAUGUUUUCUUACUGUAAUUUAUAAUGUUUUUAUCCAUAAUAAUGCUUUUUGGAGUAAUUCUAAUGCAUUUUCUCUCAUAAUUUGCAAGGAACACACUAAGAGGGAGAAUUCCGGCAGCUGGAAAUCUGGACCUCGAAAAGCUACGUUAGGCCACCUAUUCUGCACAACUCCAAAUGAGUUGAAACUUUACGGAGAUUUUUUAUGGAUUAUUUGAGAAAUAAUGGAGUCAAUAAACACCAGAGGAGGGCCACCAGGUGGGCACAACACACCUGGGCGCGACAGGUGUUGGGGAACGUAAUAUUUCAAAAAUUUACCUACGAUCACGCAAGAUCUAUCUAGGAGAAGCAUAGCAACGAGCGGGGAGAGUGUGUCCAUGUACCCUCGUAGACCGAAAGCGGAAGCUUUCAGUAACGCGGUUGAGUAGUCGAAUGUCUUCGCGAUCCAUGGACGGUAAUCAUUGAUGUUGGGAAGAGGGUAUUUGUUCUUGAUGGUCUUCUUGUUCACUGGACGGUAAUCAACACAAAGUCGGUCCGUUCCAUCCUUCUUCUUCACAAAAAGAACACCACAACCCCACGGAGAAGAACUAGGCCGGAUGAGACCCAUUCUUUCUUGCUCAUCGAGUUGCUUCUUCAGCUCCUUCAACUCUUCAGGUCCGAGCUUGUAAGGACGUUUGCACACAGGUUCCGUACCAGGCUCAAGAUCAAUAACGAAUUCAACUGGCCGGUGCGGAGGCAUUCCUAGGAGCUCUUCUAGAAAGACGUAUUGAUAUUCGCAAACAACUGGAAUUUGCGAGAUGGCGUCCAAUUCACCCUUCUCAUUGAGAGAAAAUAGACGAAUGGUAUCAUCACGAGCGGCAAAGACAAUUACAUCCUCAGACGAAUGAGUCAAUUGAAUCUGCCUGGCUGCACAAUCAAGCUGAGCCUUGUGCUUAGAAAGCCAGUCCAUCCCGAGAAUAAGAUCAAUAUCCGAGUUACCAAGAACCAUAGGAGAAGCCAGAAACUUGAAAUCACCCAUCAUGAUAGAAACAUCCGGAACUAUUGAAGUAGCCCUCAUAGACUUAGCCGGAGAAAACACUCCCAUAGGUUUACCCAACAUUUGUGAAACGAAGUCAUGCUUGGAAACAAAUGAUCUUGACAUGAAACAAUGCGAUGCACCAGUGUCAAAAAGAACUUUUGCUGGAAAAGAGUUAACUGGAAAGUUACCCAUGAUCACAUCUGACGAGUCCUCUGCCUGAGCUGCAUUCAUCAAAUUCACCUUGGCAUGCUUGGGGUUAUGCUUGACCACAGCUGUACUUGUCGAUCUGACAGGAGGAGGAGGAGGAAGACGCCUCUGGUUGAAACACUUGUUGGCAUAGUGAGCCUUCUGUUGGCACUUGUUGCACGUGACCUCUGAAAGCGGACGGUGAUAUGGAGCACUUGAUCUUGGAGCUUGAGACGAAGCCUUGUUCUGAAAGCCAGGGUUGGGUGGGUGGGAAGAACAACUGCCACCUUUGCUCUUCUGCUGAUACGGCUGACGGAACGGAGGAGGAGGAGGAAGCCAAAACUUCUACUGCUUGGCCACUUGAGUAGAGGAAGAAGGAGUAACAUCUCUGACUCGCUUCCUGGAAGCAUCACACCUCAACUGAGCAGCCUCUUGCUUCAGUGCCAUGUUGUAGAACUCAUCGUACCUCAGGGCUUAAAGAGAACAAGAGCGAGCUGAAUAUCUUCUCUGAGACCACCCCUGAACUGAUAUAUCAUGCUCUUCUCAUCAGGCACGUCCUGCUUGGCAAAGCGGGCAAGCUUUUGGAACAACUUGUUGUAGUCAUAGACAGACAAAGAGCCUUGCUUCAGAUUGCGGAAUUCCUCACGCUUGCUUUCAAUCACGCUCUGGGGAAUAAGAUGAGCUCGGAAAUCUCGACGGAAAUCAUCCCAAGUGAUAACACGUCCACCUCUGGAGUCCUUGUAUUGCUAGAACCAUUCUGCAACUUGAUCUUUGAGUUGGAAGGAAGCGAACUUCACAAAGUCCUCAGGCCUGACAUUGCUGCACUCGAAAUGCUUACACAGAUCCACAAGCCAAUCAUCAACAUCGGUUGCCUCAACACAAUUGCUGAAAGUCUUUGGCCCGUUAGCAAGGAACUGGUUGAGUGUAGCAAAGUGACUCUGAUUGCUGCCUUGAUUCCCUUGACUGCUUUGAUUGCGCUCUUGAAGAAUUUGCAUGAUCAGCUGAGUGUUUGCAUUGGUUGCGGCCAUCACAGCUUGCCAUGCCUCUGGAGGAGGUGGGGGUGGUGGCGGAUCAGGAUUCGGAGUCGUGCGCGUUGGAGGAGCCAUCCUGAAGAGGUUGACCACCAUUAGCACAUUGACAGACAAAUAUUGAAGCUGAACCCAACGGAAUGAAAAUGGCAACAUAUAGUCUUCACAUCCGAACAAAAUGAAUGAAUGCAUUCCUCUUGAAGUGGUCACAUAUCCCUAAAUUGAGAAGCCACGUAGAAUUAAGGUAGAGAAAUAAUAAACAAGGUACGGAUCAAGAACGAAUAAUCGGUAAGAAAUCCCAAUCUCAAACCAAUAUCCGUGGAAGAAGAACUAGAGCUACUAGAAUUCCCACCUAUGAAACUCCCGAACCUUUCCGGUUAUGCAAUCAGGUGUUGGGGAUACAUGGGAAGCAUAAUAUCUCACCCAAACUAGCAAAUCCUACAUCCAACUGUAUCCAUCCUUCAACACAUAACCAAGAAACCUUCGGAAAUCAUCUACCUCAACCUUCGAAAAGCCUCCGUUAUACAAGUUAUGGCAAUACUCCCGAACUCCCGCCCCAGUACUGGGUGGCGUCGAGGUUAUCUCACCAACGAACUGCAUAAAAGAGAUUUUUGAUGUCGGCGAAAAUAUCUCAAGUAUUCCAGAAUUGCAACGAUAAAAUUAUGAUGACAACACCUCAGAGCUCAACUCCCCGGGACACUUCCACUAAACCCCUGACAGGAGGCACCAAGACAAUGUUCUCAUCAUAAGCCAUCGGAACGAUUCCAAGAUACUCGGGUGAUCCUAAAAUUCUUUUUUAGUGAAAUUUGAGAAGAGAAGAGUCAAAACUCUACGUCAGGAUGCCUUACCAGAGCGAUGAGGAGACUGGGAAGUAAAAAAGAAUUCCUAAACUCUCCGAUAUAUAAUUCCUAAAUAACUCAAAACAUUUUUCUAGACACAACUCGGCCGCUAAAAACGAUCAAGCAAUGGGGCUCCUAAGGUCGGGGAAGGCUCUGAUUACCAACUUGUAACACCCUCGAUGCGACUAUAGCUCCCACGUGUCGAGGCACGACUUAGAGACAUAAUCGCAUUGAAGGCAUAUGUCGCAAGUUAGGCAAUCUUCACAACAUCCCAUGUAAUAUGAAUAAUAAAGGGGAGAACAUAGUUGGCUUACACUCGCCACGUCAAUCAAGAACAUAAAUAACAUUACAUCAUCCAAAACACUCAUGGCCCGACUACGGCGCCAAAAUAGAAGAGAACCCAACAUGCGACACGGUCCCAAUCACCCCCAACUGGGCACCACUACUGAUCGUCGGGAAAUGAAACAUAGUAUCGCUGAGAGUCUUCGUCGAACUCCCACUUGAGCUCAUACGCGUCUCCUGGAGCGGAAUCACCUGGACCUGCAUCUGGUAUAGUAGGAAUCUGUGAGCCACAGGGACUCAGCAAUCUCGCACCCUCGCGAUCAAGACUAUUUAAGCUUAUAGGAAGGGUAAGGCAAAUAUAUGUGGAGCUGCAUCAAGCGACUAGCAUAUAUGGUGGCUAUUUUAUUUGCAAAAGAGAGCGAGAAGAGGAGGCAAAGCGCGAGCGUGAAAAACUAGAGGAUCAACCUGCGCAAGCAUUACUCCAACACCGUGUCCACUUCCCGGACUCCACCGAGAAGAGGCCGUCAUGGUGACACACUCAGUUGAUUCAUUUUAAUUAAUUAAGGUUCAAGUUAUCUACAAUCGGACAUUAACAAAUUCCCAUCUGCCCAUAACCGCGGGCACGGCUUUCAAAAGUUCAAUCCCUGCAGGGGAGUCCCAACUUAGCCCAUGACAAGCUCUCACGGUCAACGAAGGAAUAGACCUCCUCCCAAGACGUUCCGAUCAGACUCGGUAUCUCGGUAAUUCAAGACAACUCCGACAAUGAUAAAACAAGUCCAGCAACACCACCCGCUGUGCCGACAAAUCCCGAUAGGAGCUGCACAUAUCUCGUUCUCAUGGCACACCAGAUAAGCUAAGCGUACGGGAGCCAACGUAACCCAAGUUGCCGAGGGACGGCCUCGCACGGUGCUCUAGGUUGGACCAACACUCAGAGGAGCACUGGCCCGGGGGGGGGGGGUUAAAAUAAGAUGACCCUUGAAUCCGCGAAACCCAAGGGAAAGGCUAGGUGGCAAAUGGUAAAACCAAGGUUGGGCACUGCUGGAGGAGUUUUAUUCAAGGCGGACAGUCAAGGGGUUCCCAUUAUAACCCAACCGCGUAAGGAACGCAAAAUUCGGGAACAUAACACCGAUAUGACGGAAACUAGGGCGGCAAGAGUGGAACAAAACACUAGGCGAGAGGCCGAGCCUUCCACCCUUUACCAAGUAUAUAGAUGCAUUAAGAUAACAUAGCAAUAUAAUGAUAUCCCAACAAGUAAAUAAAUGUUCCAACAAGGAACGGCCUCCAAUCUUCACCUGCAACUAGCAACGCUAUAAGAGGGGGCUGAGCAAAGCGGUAACAUAGCCAAUCAACGGUUUGCUAGGACAUGGUGGGUUAGAGGUUGACAUGGCAAUUUGGGAGGCUGACAAGCAAAAGGUAGGCAUCGUAGCAUUGGCAUAGCGAGAGCGAGCAAACUAGCAUAGCAAAGAUAGUAGUGAUUUCGAGGGUAUGAUCAUCUUGCCUGCACAGUUGUCAGAGUUGACUGGAUCCUCGAAAGCAAACUCAACGGGCUCCUCGGUAGCGAACUCGUCUCCCGGCUCUACCCAAACAAGACAAACAAGCAACAAGGAUACAAUCAACCACGUGCAAGAACAAGCAAUAUGAUGAAGUGAUGAUAUGCUAUGCGGGAUGCGAUGCGGGAUGCAAAAUGCAAGAUAUGACAGGAAAUGCAUGAACCUGGCCUCAACUUGGAAUUCCAAGGGUGCCACUGGAAAAAAUGAGAUGAAAUCGCUUGAAAACGAUAUAAAGAUCAUCGAAAUCGGAGUUACGGUUUGGAAAUGGCAAGCGAUUCAAAAAUUGACACCGGUCUGCGAUUUACAGCAAGUAGGCGUCUAAAUGCAAUGAGAUGAACAUGCUACAGCCACCAAACAUGACAACAAAAUGCAUGGCAGGGAUGUACAUAAGAUGCUUAACAAAAGUCUAGCACUGAGCUACGGCCAAUUCAUCCAUUAUGAGGUUCAAACAAGCAUGGCAAAAACACAAAUGCAAAACAGAUUCCAGACUUAGUGGAAUUAACACUUGUCUGAAAUUUCAGAUCACGAAGCCCUCUUCGGAGUAGCAAAACAACAUGAUACAUGACCUGAUUAAGACAAGUAAGAACAUGGCACGGAGCUACUCCACAAGCUUAACAAAAGACCCAAAGUGACCUCGGGCCAAAAGGGUUCACAAAAUAUACUAAAGGGCACACGAACAUAGCUAAAACACAAUUAGUUUUCAGACUUGGUGAAAACUGAGACAUGCUGAAAUAUAACUCACGAAGGCAUGUAAACAAGCUCGAUGCACUCACUACGGUGCAAGUCAUGGCAAGGCAAGCAUACACCCAUUAAGAAGGCACAAAACACAAGCUAGACAUGGCAAGAACAAUGGCAUAGCGUGCACGGAUCAACUACAAUAACAUCGGCAAAAUUGCAAACAAGUUGACGAUCUGCCCAGAUUCACAACGAAGUAAAAGUAGAGCUCGAUUGACUCAAGCUAGGGUGCUCCAUAAUUGCAAGUAAAGACAUGGAUGGAUAGAUCAUAACAUGAUUAACAAAACUCCUUUACUGAUCAUCCUAAAAAGAGGCACGGAUCACUAGGAAACAAGCUGAACAUAUGGCAUCAUGAACUAAAUAAUCCCAGACUUAGGGAAAACUACUAAGUCCCUGAAAACAGAUUUACCGGGUGCCUCACUUUGCAAGCUUGCACAAGACACCACACACAUCCUAAAAAUGCAUGGGUUGCACCUCUGGAAAGAUAACAAAAUUCUUAACAAAACAUAUGAAGGACUCACAGGCAUAGCAUGCACACAAUAAUCGUGGCAAAAAUGACAAAAGUCUAAGAUGAAUUAGCAGAUCUGGCAAUUAACUCACGAAGCCUCCUUCUAACAGCAUUUCGGGCAUCAAGACGCACUCAAAUGAAAAUGAUGCAAUGGGAUGAAAUGAUGUACUCGUCGAGAUGAACAUUUUGAUAUACUAUAUGCCCAAAUCGGAGCUACGGAUGCGGAGAUACGGCCGGUCAAAGUAGGCAUAAAAAAUUAAGGUUUGGAGGGAAAAGUCAACCGAGAUGCUCAGAUCUAGAUCCAGAUCAGGGCUGCACUAUUCAUCGGCGCCGGAGUCGAGGGAGGAGGCCGGAGCAGCGGGGAGAGGCUGGUGAGGGGGCGGCCGGAUCCGGUGGUGGCCGNNNNNNNNNNNNNNNNNNNNNNNNNNNNNNNNNNNNNNNNNNNNNNNNNNNNNNNNNNNNNNNNNNNNNNNNNNNNNNNNNNNNNNNNNNNNNNNNNNNNNNNNNNNNNNNNNNNNNNNNNNNNNNNNNNNNNNNNNNNNNNNNNNNNNNNNNNNNNNNNNNNNNNNNNNNNNNNNNNNNNNNNNNNNNNNNNNNNNNNNNNNNNNNNNNNNNNNNNNNNNNNNNNNNNNNNNNNNNNNNNNNNNNNNNNNNNNNNNNNNNNNNNNNNNNNNNNNNNNNNNNNNNNNNNNNNNNNNNNNNNNNNNNNNNNNNNNNNNNNNNNNNNNNNNNNNNNNNNNNNNNNNNNNNNNNNNNNNNNNNNNNNNNNNNNNNNNNNNNNNNNNNNNNNNNNNNNNNNNNNNNNNNNNNNNNNNNNNNNNNNNNNNNNNNNNNNNNNNNNNNNNNNNNNNNNNNNNNNNNNNNNNNNNNNNNNNNNNNNNNNNNNNNNNNNNNNNNNNNNNNNNNNNNNNNNNNNNNNNNNNNNNNNNNNNNNNNNNNNNNNNNNNNNNNNNNNNNNNNNNNNNNNNNNNNNNNNNNNNNNNNNNNNNNNNNNNNNNNNNNNNNNNNNNNNNNNNNNNNNNNNNNNNNNNNNNNNNNNNNNNNNNNNNNNNNNNNNNNNNNNNNNNNNNNNNNNNNNNNNNNNNNNNNNNNNNNNNNNNNNNNNNNNNNNNNNNNNNNNNNNNNNNNNNNCGUGGCGGCGCGGGAUUUGCGGGGCGGCGGCGGCGAUUUUUUGUCCGGCCGGCACGGACGUGUCCGGCGCGGCGCGGAGAUCUUUUUUUUGGCUAGGGUUUCGUAGGAGGAGAUAAUCCGAAAACGGGGGGGGGGGGUGUAUUUAUAGGCAUAAGUGGAGCUAUGAGAGUCCAAAUGAGGUGCGGUUUUCGGCCACACGAUCAUGAUCGAACGCUCUAGGACAUGGAGCAGAGUUUGGUGGGUUUUGGGCCAAAUUGGAGGGGUGUUGGGCUGCAACACACACGAGGCCUUUUCGGUCCCUCGGUUAACUGUUGGAGUAUCAAACGAAGUCCAAAUGACACGAAACUUGACACGCGGUCUACCGGUAGUAAACCAAGUCCGCUUGGCAAGUCUCGGUUCAAUCCGGAAAUUUUUAAUCCCCACACACGAAAGAAAGCUAGAAAUGACCACCGGAGGAGAACGAAGCGCCGGAAUGCAAAACGGACAACGGGGGAAAAGCUCGAAUGCAUGAGAUGAACACGUAUGCAAAUGCAAUGCACAUGAUGACAUGAUAUGAGAUGCAUGACAAAGAAAACAACACACGGAGACAAAGACCCGAACCCGAAAAAUAAAUAUAACAUAACGCCGGAAACGACAAGAGUUGGAGUACACAUAGGGAAAGUUACAUCCGGGGCGUUACAGACACAUGCCCAAAGAGGUCCAAAAUGGCUCCACAAACCCUGGACUCGAGCUUCACGGGCUUGAAUAAAAUCAUCACAUCGUCAGCAAACAUCGACACCCACUGAUGAACGCCAGAACGGGCUAGGGGUGCUAGCAUUCCUUUGGCCACAACCAAUUUGAAGAGAUACUGCAGCGGCUCCAUGCAGAGGAUAAAUAUCAAUGGGGACAGCGGAGCCCCUUGCCUUAGCCCUUGACAGUUGAAGAUUGGCUUUCUUGGUAUCUCGUUUACCACGAUCAUUGUGGAGGCAGUUGCUAAUAGCCCACACAUCUAGGAGAUCCAUCUCCUCCCAAAACCCAUCCAUGUUAAAACCUCCAAAAUAAACGGCCACUGAACAGAGUCAAAUGCCUUUGAUAUGUAAAGCUUUAGCAUCACUGUUGGUUCCUUCAACUCUUGCAAAUGCCUUGCCGUGGAUUGCACCAGCAUGAAGUUGUCGUGCAAAGAGAGUCCCUGGACAAACGUACUUUGAUAGUGUCCAACGAGCUUCGGGAGGUCCUCGGUCAAUCUUGUUGCAAGCACUUUUUCGAAUAUUUUGACCGCUCCGUGCACUAGGCUCACCGGCCGGUAGACCUGGAUAUCCACAACCCCUUCUCUCUUCGGCAAAAGCGACACAAUGGCCUUGUUGAUGCUCGGUAGCCCACGCAUAUCUCCAUGGAAGAAGUCGUGAAGUGCUCGCAUGAAAUCCCACUUGAUUAUAACCAGCAUGUCGCAAAGAAUCGACCUAUGAAUCCUUUAGGCCCCGGCGAUUUGUCCAUUGGCAUGGACUUGACCGUCUUUUCCACCUCUUCCGCCAAGAAGGGGACCUCAAGGUGCACCAAGUCCCUUGACAGAAGGCCUAGCAUAUCCAAGUCAAUGGUGUGUUGCCUUGCCGGCACUGAGCCAAAUAAGCCCGUGUAGUACUCAUUCACCAUCCCCGCAAUGCUUUCCUGCUCGGUGAACACCUCUCCAUGAUGAUGCAUGACCGUGAUCAUGUUCUUGCAUUUGUUAGCCGCGCAUGCCCGACGGAAGAAUUCCGUGUUUGCGUCCCCCUCCCUCAAGUGGAGGAGGCAAGACGUUAUCUAGCAAUCGUCUGCUUCAGAGAGCUCAAUCCCAGCAACUUCGUCUUCGGCAGUUUUCGUAGAUCAUACUCGUGGUCAAAGAGGGCCCUCGAGUCUGCAGCCAUAUCCAACCUGUAAAUAACUUCCAUUGCCAGGGCUACUUGAAAGCGCAUAUUUCCGAUCCACUUAUCGAUCCAAAAGAUAAGAAUGCGAUAAAGAUUCACGUGAAAGAAAAAACCACAGGACUUAAAAGAGCUCAAUGCGCCCUAUUUGUGCCUAACUAGUCAUACAAUUCAAGGUUUAAUUAGAUAGAAUUCAAGUCCAAGUGGAAUGUUCUGGGUGACAGCAUUUCGUUGACAUUUGGGCGAUGAUCAUGCCGUACGUACGUACGAACGUGCUGUGCCGUAAGUUGACCUAUCGACUCCGUACUUACCUAGCCCUAACCCUAUGCCUGUAGUCAGUUAUCUAAUACGUACUCCUUUGCCUAACCGACGAUACAACAAGAGUACGUGGUCAACUUUGGCACUCCGAUUAUUUUUUGCUGAUUGUUUUGUUAAAUCGCUCACCAGACUAGCCACUUGGUUGGCCCUCUGGUUAAUUAAUCAAGGAUUGUACGGUACACACAUAAGCAGGACGUCAGCUGGAACCAAGCAUGCAGUCUUGUUAGUAAAUGGUCAUCACAAUUUCUUUUUCAUCUUAAUCUUCUAUAACAAUGAUGACACGGCAAACUGUCAAGGUACACUCUGUGUCUAGUCACCAUUAUUAUUAUUUUUUAAAGGAAGGAUGAUUAUGAUCCGGAACAGAGAGUGCGCAUCCGUUGUACUCCCUCCAUUCAGAAAAACUUGUUCCUCAAAUGGAUGUAUCUAGCACCAAGUUAGUGUUAAAUACAUCCAUUUGAUAGACAAGCUUGGACAAGCUUUUCGGGACGGAGGGAGUAGCUAGCAUGUGGGCUUUCCCUGUCACGCGUUCUGGCCGUCCGAAGUUGAAGAUGCUCUUCUAAAACUUCGAUGCGUAUUUAACCUCCUUCGGAAUCAUAUACUCUCUUUCUCCCAAAACAACUUCAUACAAGUUUUAAUACAAAGUUAAUAUAAAAUUAAGUCAUUUAUUUUGAGACGGGGGAGCGGAGGGGGGGUAGUAUUUAGACCUAGGCAUUCGUCGGGCCGGGCCGAGCCUGACAAAGGCCGACGUACAAAGUCUAGGCCCGAGCCCGGCCUGGCCCGAUCAAAAAAACGCAUAUUUAAGCCCGAGCCUAGCCCGAGGAGACAAAAUGGAGCACUUUGGGGCCAGGCUGGGUCGGGCCUCUGUGUAAACUGCCUCAUUUCCUAGGCCCGAGCCUAGCCCAACAUACGCAACAGGCUCCAUUUCUAGGCCCGAGCCCGGCCCAGCCCGGCCCAGGUUUUUCGGGCUGGGUCGUCGGGCCAGGCUGCCCAUGCCCAAGUUUACUAGUAUUCAUCUCAUAAAAAAGAAAAGAGAAAAAAAAUCAUAUGGUAUUCCUUCCAUUCCAUAAUUCUUGUCGUGGUUUUAGUCCUCAUAAAACUCGAUAGUGCCUUGAGAGUCGAGGUGAACAUGUCCUUCCCCAACCCCAAAGCUUCUCUACACACAUGUGCGUCCGGAGUUUCUAGAUCAAUUAGCCAUCAAAAACAACCGUCGAUGCCCCCUGAAACAUUCCAUGCUCAUGACAACAACAGAUGCCCACCGCCCCUUUGCCCGUAACCUUGGCUACAACACCGUCCACAUUGAGCUUCAUGUAGAGGGAUCCAAGGCGAUGGAAGAUGAGCCUAGCUGCCCCCAUCAGUCUGGUUUGGCUAGGCUAAACCCUCAGCUCAUCCAAAUAUUGUCGUAUGAUUAGAUAGUAGAUAACUGACUAUGGGACUCUUCCUCGAGAAUCGUUUUCCGCCUUGUCCACCAAAUCGCCCACAACAUAACAAGAACUUCGAGGAAAGUAUCAUGGGGAGUGUGCUACUUGGUUACUUGUUCACCUUUGGUGUGGAACAAUAACAAUCACAAACGGUCAAAUUACACCCGUGUCGGCUAGAUAAACAGGGUCGUUUGCAUCUCUUUCAGAAAAAUGAGAAAACAUCAAUAAAACUAGUCCUUACAGACUAUAUAAAGAAAGGAACAAGUAUAUAUAAAUGAUAAUAUAAGCAAAGAUGAAUUGCGUUCUAUUUUUUCCGAAGACGAAUAGGUUUUCAAAAUAAUACUGUCUCCGUCCGGAAAUAUAAUUUUUAGGACAAAUAUUUUCGGACGGAGAGUAAUAAGCUAGCGCCGCAUCACCUGCAUUGACUUUUGCACGAUCCAAACCGUGCGAGCGAUCAAGUUGACUUAUCAACCCCCUGCGAUAAUACCGCUACCCAAUGCGCAUAAACAAUAUACGUACUGGUAUGUGCAGAGUACCGUACUUAUGCAGGACGGUUAUUGUUAAUCCUAGAUCCCACAGAGGACCAGACGAUAAUAUAUCCUACUCCGAGAUUCCGUUAUUGUUAAUCCUAUAAUCAUCGAUCGAUGUGGUCAAAUCAGAGCUCCGGGAGGAGAAGAAGUCUUCUCGUCCUUGCACCAUUCUCCUCUUCUUUCUUGGGGAGGUCGCAUUUGGCCUGGGUGGCCAGUACCGUGAGCUCUUCUAGAAAAAUAAAGAGGUAAUAGCACCCCAGGUACCCUAACUUGCACCCAAUGUGAUGAUCUAGUCCCAAACUUGCAAAACUAGACCAACUCAUACCCCAACUUGCAACCAAUGUGAUGUUUUAGUCCCAGGCCAAUCAUAGCUCGCCAAUUGGCUGCCAAGUGGCCGGCCCGGUCAGCGCCUGUAGUUUUGCACAAACCCCCCUGCCGUUUCACUCAUUCAACCCGCAGUACCCCCCACCUGAAUUAAAUCUGUCGGAUUCCAGUUGACGUCCGUUCGAGAGGGUUCACUUGGUCGCUGUCGGGGCGACAGAGCUCACGGGCUGGCGGGGCGAUGGUGACGUCAGCGUCCCAGGCGUCGUUGCCGCCGGUGAACGGCGGCGUGGAGGCACCGGCAUCUGCUCAUCUCGUCCGGCCGUUCGGAGCAUUCCCUCCUGAUUACUGUGAGCUCGACGCCCCGUCUCUCUGUUUUCUUUUCCUCCCUCUCCUCCCCUCUGCUUUACUCCUCUGAGCUCUGAGCUCGUCGCCCCGCCGUUUUCAGCUCGAAUCUCGUACAUUUGUGCUCGAAUCGGGGUCGUCUAGUGGUGUGAUUUGAGUAGGGUCAUGUAUUGCGAAGUGAAGCUAGGGUUUCAGCCGAUGAAUUUAGGUUUGGGUUCGACACGAUAACUAGGGUUUAUGGCGGACAAGUUAGAUGUUAAUGCCUUAUCUUGCUGUUGUAGCCUGUAUUCUGCUCGUCUGGUGAACAACUGUAGUUAACUGAAUCCUUUACACUGGAACUUGAUCAUGGUUCAGUUAAUCUUUUACUGUUGUUCAAGUAUGUUAUGCAAUUGACUAAUUUAUUCAGUUAACUGAAUAUUCAGUUAACUGACUAUUUGUUUAUGAACUGAUGCAUCUUUGUAUUGAAAACAGUGUGUGAUGCAGCAAAUGGAGAAAAGGUGGACAGUCCAUUUUUUACACUGGAACUUGAGCAUGGUGGAAUUUUCUAUGGCCUAAUCACAAACCUGGAGUACUGGAGCCCUUCUGUUGAGGUGUUAGACUUUGUUGACUCUGGCACUUUAUGUUAUGCAUUCCUUGAACAACACUUGGCUUGGUUGGGAUAUCCUGUGAGUGAGCACAUCAUCUACUUCACCAAACCAAAUAAACCAAUCUCAGAUGGGUUGAUCAGAAUUAGCAGUGAUGAGGAUGUGCAGCAUAUGAUCAGAGCCAGUGCUGAGCAUAAGGUGCUUGUAGUGCAGGUUGACCAUACAGAUUUCAUCAGCAACUUUAGGUCUGACUUGGUGUGCACAAGUUUUGAAGCAGCAAGUGCAUCCCCUUCCCAUAGCCUAGUUUCAGUCUUUGUAGAAGAUCCUUUGUCAGAGAUUGCAGCAAAUGGAACAGACCCAAAGAAUUUGCUUAUUGAGGGUGCUGAGCAGAACAUGCUAACUGAAGAUCCCUUGUUAGAUAUUGCACCAAUUGGAACAGACCCACAGAGUUUGCUUACGGAGGGUGCUGAGCAGAACAUGCUAACUGAAGAUGGAGAAACAGUUAUUGAAGAUGUAGUUGUAUCAGAUUCUGAUUUCAGUGACAGUGACUAUGACAUAGAUGAUGGUGAUGAUGAUCUGUAUGAUGACAACAUUGACUUUGAUGUUGAUGAAGAAGCAGAUCAGGAUGAGGAUGAUGUGGAGCCUGAAUAUUUCCUUGAGGAUGAAGAUCUCAACCUAUCAACUGAAGAAGCAGAUGAACUUAGGUACAAGUUUAAAGCUUUCAAUGCAAAGGUGGACAUGAUUUGCCCUGUGUUUAAAGUAGGGAUGGUAUUUGCUGAUGUGGUUGAGUUAAGACAUGCACUGACUGCAUAUUCAGUUAGAAACAGAGUGCAGAUCAAGAAGUUAAAGAAUGACAAGAGGAGACUUGAAGCAGUUUGUGAAGAUGGUUGCCCAUGGUAUCUGUAUGCUGGCAAUGACAACAGGACAGGGGGGUUUGCCAUCAAGACUUACUAUGGAGAACAUAUAUGUCAGAAGAAAUGGAAGAUAAGGUCACUGACAGCAAAAUUCAUGUGCAAGUAUUUCAUAAAUGAGUUCAGAGAUGACCAGAAGAUGUCACUAGGUACAUUUUCAAGAAAGAUCACCAAUGAAUUUCAUGUCACCCCUAACAGAUGGAAGCUAGCUAGGGCAAGAACUGCAGCACUUAAGGAGAUCCAUGGUGAUGAAGAAGAGCAGUUCAGUAGGCUUAGGGACUAUGGUCAUGAAUUGAGGAAUACCAACCCUGGGUCUACAUUUCUUCUGUCAACUGAGGUUGUUAGAGACAUAGAUUUCCCACAGGGCAGGAAAUGUCUGAAAACUCUAUAUUGGUCUUAUGAUGCAUGCAAAAGGGGUUGGCUCAAGGGAUGCAGGCCUAUUAUUUUCAUUGAUGGUUGUCACAUGAAAAAUAGGUUUAAAGGAGUGUUGCUUAGUGCAGUGGGUAUUGAUCCAAAUGACUGCAUUUUCCCCAUUGCAAUGGGUUGGGUAGAAGUAGAGUGCACCAGUUCUUGGGAGUGGUUUCUCACUACAUUGAGAGAUGACCUUAACAUCACAAAUACUGCUCCUUUCACUAUUAUGAGUGACAAGCAGAAAGGUUUGAUCAAUGCUGUGCAAAAAAUCUGGCCAGAUGCUGAGCAUAGGUUUUGUGUUAGGCAUAUUUAUCAGAAUUUCAAUGAGAAGCACAAAGGAGAGCAACUGAAGCAAGAUCUGUGGGCCAUUGCAAGAGCACCAAACAGGGUUAAGUGGAGCCAAAACUGUGAGAAAAUGGAUUCCCACAGUGCAGCUGCCUUCCAUUGGACUGAGAGACUAGAUCCAAAGACAUGGUGUAAAUCAUUUUUUAGUGUUUUUCCCAAGUGUGAUAUUCUGCUGAACAAUAACUCUGAAGUAUUUAACAGCUAUAUUCUAGAGGGCAGAGAGAUGCCAGUACUCUCCAUGCUGGAAUACAUUUUUUACAAGAUAAUGCAAAGGCUAGUGAGUAAACAGAGGGAGGCCAUAGAGAAGUGGGCAGGGCAGAGAAUAUGCCCAAAGAUCAUGAAGAAACUAGACAAGAACACUGAGUUUGCUGCUAAUUGCCAUGUCUCUGAAGCUGGCCAACAAUUGUUCAGAGUUCAGUCUGGUAACUCUAGCUAUACAGUUGACUUGUGCUUGCACACUUGUGACUGCAGGAGAUGGCAGCUCUCUGGAGUACCAUGUGGCCAUAGUAUAGCAUGUUGCAGGGAGGAGAGAAUUGACCCAGUGACAAUGGUUCAUGAAUGCUAUAGUGUGGAGAAUUAUCUUAAAGCAUAUGGAUACACUUUGGUUCCACUUAGAGAUCCAAAGCAUUGGGAGAAACAGAAUGGAGACAAGGUAUAUCCACCAGUUUUCACUAAACAGUUGGGAAGGCCAAAGAAAAACAGGAAGAAAACACCAGAAGAGAAGAGAAGCAGGAAUGGUGUUAGAUAUUUGAACAAAAAAGGUGUGACAAUGCACUGCUCAAUUUUUGGCAGAGCUGACCACAACAGGAAAGGGCACUACAGGUGGCAGGAAGCACUAGUUGCAGAAGGAGUAGAGCUUGUUGAUGAUAACUAUGAUGAUCCAUCAUUUCUUCAGGUAUGCUUCUGCUGCAUCUCAUUUUGCACAGUUGGCUGUAAUGCAUGAACUCUCUAAAAUGAGCUUAUCUGAACAUUUUUCUUUGCAGAACAUCUUUCCAAACAGGCCAGAUCCUAGGAUGGAUCCUACUGAGUCACCAACUAGCAUGGUUUUCAACAUGGCCAGCAGGGAAAGAGUAAGAAGACCUUCUCAAAGGGUCCAUGGCCCAUUGCCUGAGCUCUCUUCAUUUGUUGCUGCUGCUGGGGCUGAAAUACCACAACCCAGGGUGACUACAGAAAUGAAUGUUGCUAGGCAGACAAGGGCAAGAACUGAAGCUGACAUUGCAAGAGGAAAGAAAAGGAGAGGCAGAGGAGAGGUACAUCCAAAUGCAAGAAGAGGAAGGGGAGCAAGUGCAGUCUCAGCUCCAGGAAGAGGUGCUAGUGCAGAUGCAGGGUCAAGAGAGGGAGCAAGUGCGGGUGUUGGGAGAGGGAGAGGAGCAAAUCCAGGUGCUAGCAGAGGGAGAGGAGCAAAUGCAGGUGCUGGGAGAGGGAGAGGAGCAAAUCCAGGUGCUAGCAGAGGGAGAGGAGCAAAUGCAGGUGCUGGGAGAGGGAGAGGAGCUAAUCCAGGUGCUGGCAGAGAGAGAGGAGCAAAUGCAGGUGCUGGCAGAGGGAGAGGAGGCCAAGAAGGUGAGAGGGCAUGGUGGAUAAUGUUUGGAGAUGACAUUGCCAGUCAUAUUCCUGACCUAAAUGCUCCUCCUGAUGAUUUUCCUGCUGCCUGAUCUAGUGGCAGUUGUCAACCACCAUUUUUUGACAAGGCCUAUACUUAUGUAACUCAUAAACUGGCCUUAUUUUGUUAUGUCAAACUGUGGCAUACAUUCCCUCUUUUUUGAAGGCAAAUUGUGGCAUAUAUUGCCUAACUUCUGGAUGGCAAACCAUGGCAUACAGUGCCCUUUUUGUAAUUAAAUAUUAUAAUUAGGAGUUAACUGAAUUUCACUGAAUGUUGCCACAUGUCUGAAUUUUGCUGUUCACUGAAUUUAACUGAAUUCUGUGGUGUUAACUGAAGUGAAUUUUGCUACUAUUGACUGGAGAAAAAACCAAUAUACUGAAUUUAACUGAAUUCUGUGGUGUUAACUGAAGUGAAUUUUGCUGCUGUUAAGUGAGUACUGUAGUCAAUAGUGCUGUUGUUUAUAAAAAAAAUGUUUGUCCUGGGUAUCGAACCCAGGACCUGUGAAUAGCAAACCUAACUGCAUUGCCAGUGUGAUAGUAGUAGUGAUUUGUUCAGAUGGUAGCACGCACUGUAGUUAAGCAGACCCACCGUUCCACUAGUUCGUUCGCUCCGCCGAUUCGGUUUCCUAGUGCUUUAAAGCCAACCAACUCAACUCCACUAGCUCAACUCCACGCCACUCCACCUAGCUCCCAGUCCACCCACGUCGCAGCUCGCUCCUCGGUGCCCCCGCCACCCCCCGCUCCUCGGUNNNNNNNNNNCGGCGACGACGAUGCGCUCCGCGCGGACCUGAAGGAGAUAGCUCGCUGGUUCCCCUCCGGCCAGAUGCUCCUCCACCACGCGCUAGGCCUGGUAAAGGUCAUGACUGACGACGAGAAGCGUCGCGCCAUGCCCGCACCUGGCGUAGCUCCGGUCCUGGUCUUGCGCUUCGCAAUGGCGGAGACGCGGUCGGACGAUCCGAGGCAGCGCGCGCGGUGGUGGAUGUACCGCUCCGCCACCACACCGUCGCCGCACCCGGAUCCGUUCCGCGUUGCCUCCAGGAUGCAGCGCCUCCACGACGUCGUCCUCGCUGUCCCCGCGCCGGUGAACACCGCCUACUCCGACGAUGAAUCCUUCUCCGACGACACCGACUCUGACUCUGCCGAGGAGGAGAUUGAGGUAGUGCUGCUAUCUGACGACGAGCCGGACGACGUCGUCAUGCUGGCUCCCGUCGUCGCCGGCAACGAGGGCGACAGGCACCGCCCCAUUGACGUGGACCUGCUGCCAGAGAUGCCUGACUUUGUCAAGAAGGAGGUGCUGGAGGACGUGCUGACGGAGGUGGUGGACGGGCAAGCACGGGAUGCCUCCAAGAAGAGGAAGAAGCCGACGAAGAUUCCACUUGCAGGGGAGGUGCGCCGGUCCCAGCAUCUGAAGGAGCUCCAGAAAUGAAGAACUGAAGACUGCAGAAUGUAGUUAGGUAUGCUGAGUAGCAUAUAAGUUAGCAUAUCAGUUAGUAGUUAGGUGUGCUUCGUAUAUUGGUAGCACAUAAGUUAUUUGUAGUUUCGAAUGGGCUGGUUUGAACUACUUUUGGGUUGAACUUAUGCUGCAACUGUUGCCAUCUAAUUAUGUUGUUGUUGCUGUUGGUAGUUCUAUAUGCUGCUAAGAAAUCUUGCUGUUAAAAUGAGUUUACUAAAAGAAAUUCAGUUAAGCAAACUGAUACAAAUACAAAUUCAGUUAGAAUGAGUUUACUGAAAGAAAUUAGCUAAAUUAAGUUAAACUUACUGAAUACCAAUUCAGUCGUAGUUACUGAAUACUAAUAUUAGCCACUAACUAAAUUGGCUUGUUAUUAUUUUCGUGCCUAAAAUUAGCACACAACAAUGGGCUACCUCUGCCCACCUACCAUAUUUACCUCUGUCUACCUACCACCCACCCCUCUUAAUUCUAUAUAAAGCACACCAAAUGGCACAAACACCAGUCAAAGCCAAAUCUCUCACUUCUCCCCCCAGCCGCAAGAGAGAACCCAAUGGAUCCUGGAGAGGUAGUAGAUGCAGAAGAGGUACCCAGUGGAGCUAGGUGUAGAGAGGCAAGAAGGUUGCAAAGAAGGCAGCUGGCAGAGAGGAUCCUUGCAGCACGCAACCGCAAGGAUGUACAACAGUUCCUGGAGGCAUUCCCACCUGGAUCAAACCCCACUGAUGAUGAUAUCAUCUACUGGGCAAGGAGGAGGGCUAAUCUCCAUCCUUUUCAGUGCACUAGGCUGAGGUGGAGUAGGAUCCUCUACCCAGAUGAAUGAGCUCUUAAACACCCCAUUGCUCCUAGCUCUUCUAUCUAAGUAUGAAUGCACUGCAUGUCAAUGCAAGUCUAUCUAUGUAUGAGUGAGUGUUUUAUCUAUGUUUGUGACUGAGUGUGGUUUAUCUAUGUAUGAGUCAGAGUUUUAUCUAUAUAUGAGUCAGUGUUCUAUCUAUGUAUGAGUCAGUUAACUCUUAGUGCAAUGUACUAAAUCUAUACUACUUAUUCUCUGUUAGUUCCAAUUCUGGACAUUUUUACUAGAGUUUGCAUGUAACUGAAUCUUCACUGAACUGGUCAUUCAGUAAGUCACACAAAUUCAGUUAACUAAAAGCAAUUUCAGUUAACUAAAAGCAAAUUCAGUUAACUAAAAGCAAAUUCAAUUUACUAAAAGCAAAUGAAAUACAACUUGCAAAUUCUCUUAACUUGGGGCAGUCAUACAAAUUCACUUAACUAAAAGCGAAUUCAGUCUAAUACAACUUGCAACAACAUAACUUGGGUACUCAUACAAAUUCAGUCUAAUACAACUUGCACCAACAAUGAAUUACUCAGAUUCAUCUAAGAUCUCCUUCACCCUCCUUAUCUUGCUCUUGGUCUCCUCCUUGUGCCUGAAUAGAUCACCAAUCAUGUACUCUAGUUUCUUCUUCUCCUUCUUCAGCUCAUCCCUCUGUGACACCACUUUGUCCAACUCUUCCUUCAUGCUCUCCAUCUGUUGCUUCAUCUCAUCCCUCUCUUUCUCUGCCUUAGCCCUCACAACCUGAUGAAUGCUAGUGGUAGAUUUAUCAGCCAUCUUCUUCUUCUGAAGCUCUUCCUUUAGGUCAGAAAGAGCAAGUCUUGCAUUGCCCAAUUCAGUAACUGCCUGCUCCUUGUCACCCACCAUCUUAGCAAAAUCUAGUUUAAAAAACCUCAGAUCAUUUGCCAUCUUUUCCUUCUCUUUCACAACCCUAAAAUUUUCUUCAGCAAGAACUACACUUUCCCUGAGCCUCAGCUUUACCUCAUCAUCAUACAUUGCCCAAACCCUGGCUAAACUCAUCUUCAGAGUGUCUGGCCAUUCAGGGUCAAUCCACUCCACAAACUUGCAUUUAGGUAUUUCCUAACAAAUAAGAUAGAAUUCAGUUAGUUCAUUUGAUUUGGAUUCAGUUAAAUUUAGUCAUUCAUUUGAAUUCAGUUAAUUUCAGUUAAGUUCAGCUAUUUCAUUCUAAUUCAGUUAAGUUCUGUUAUUUCAUUUAAAUUCUGUUAUUUCAUUUCAAUUAAGUUAAGUUAAGUUAAGUUCUGUUAGUUCAUUUGAAAUUCACUUAAGUUCACUAACAAGAUGCUGUUAACUAAAGGAUUAAUUUAAGUUCACAAACUAGAUGCUCUUAACUGAAAAUGCACUCCUCCACAUUUACAUGGCACACUAUUAUACAGAUCAAAUGAACUCCUCCACAUUUACAUGACACACAUUGCAAGUUUGGUAGAUCUACUUACCUUUUGAGCACAAGCAAGAUACCUCCUUCCACUGUCAACUGAUUCAAAGCACACAAACUUCUCACACACACACUGGUGUUCACAUCUAGCUGCAAUAUCUGGAGCAAGGCCUGUCCACUCAGAGCAGAAAAUGGUGGCAGGAGCAGGAGCCUACAUACAACAUAUUCUUGUCACCAAACAUACAUUUUUGCUACUCAAGAACAUACAUUUCUGCUCAAUCCCUAUCUGCCAGAGACAUAGCCAAGAACUAACCUCACUUGUCACAGAGUAGCCGUCGGAGGACGAGCUCGAUCCGUCACUCCAAGAUACCAUGGAGGCGACCUGGACGGCGGCGGUGAGCUGGACGGCGGCGGCGAGCUUGCUGUCGGCGUGGAUAAGCUGAUGCUGGAGCCGCGGGGGCAAGGGGGCAGAUGGGGAACGAGUGGACCAGCAGAGCUCGAUUCCUUCGACAGAUUUAAUUCAGGUGGGGGGUACUGCGGGUUGAAUGAGUGAAACGGCAGGGGGGUUUGUGCAAAACUACAGGCGCUGACCGGGCCGGCCACUUGGCAGCCAAUUGGCGAGCUAUGAUUGGCCUGGGACUAAAACAUCACAUUGGUUGCAAGUUGGGGUAUGAGUUAGUCUAGUUUUGCAAGUUUGGGACUAGAUCAUCACAUUGGGUGCAAGUUAGGGUACCUGGGGUGCUAUUACCUCAAAAAUAAAGUAGAGGGAGAAAGUGACGGGCAAACCCGGAAUGCUAGCUGGUUCAGUUUAAGGCCAACUCCACCACGUGACCCAAAUUUACCUCAAAUCCUCUCUUUGUGUCUAUUUGGGAUAAAACGGACAAAACGAAUGACCUAACGCAUGGGAGCAUACGAACGUUUCGUCCGGUCUGUGUCCGCUUUUACCUCAUUUCCAGACCAAAGUUGCUCUCGGUUUGGGGCCAAAGCGGAUAAAAAGCGGACGUCUCCGCGUCCUCGUCGUCCGUCUGUGUUCGCCCUCGACCCCACCUGUCAGUCUCUCUUUUUCUCCUUUUCUGUACCUGCCCACCACGCGCACCAUGCCACUCCAGUACAACAGCAGCACCGGGCCCCCUCCAGUUCACACCCAUGGCGCCUCCGCCUUUGCUCUCCCUCUCCACGCUCCUUCUCCUGCUCGCCGUCGCCUCCCAUGCCUCUGCCAAGCCCGUCGGAAAUGCUCAAAGAAUGCCACCGUGACCGAGCUGCUUGCGUACCGGCUGGAGCGGGACGAGAAGAGGGCAGCACCGCUCUCUGCGGCCACCGGCGCGGCCAACGGCACGCGUCGCACCGGGGGAGGGGUCGUGGCGCCGGUGGUGUCCGGCCUGGCCCAGGGGAGCGGGGAGUACUUCACCAAGAUCCCGGGCACGCACACCUCGUACACCCACUGCCCGACGCGCUCAAGGCGCUGGCCCAGCUCGACGGCCUCGCCUUCUGCUACUUCUGGCUGCGCCUCUCCGGGCGCCGGAGCGACAGGCGCCACCGCGAGGGGGAGAAGGUCGCGCCUCUCCGGGCGCCGGAGCGACAGGCGCCACCGCGAGGGGGAGAAGGUCGCGCCUCUCCGGGCGCCGGAGCGACAGGCGCCACCGCGAGGGGGAGNNNNNNNNNNNNNNNNNNNNNNNNNNNNNNNNNNNNNNNNNNNNNNNNNNNNNNNNNNNNNNNNNNNNNNNNNNNNNNNNNNNNNNNNNNNNNNNNNNNNNNNNNNNNNNNNNNNNNNNNNNNNNNNNNNNNNNNNNNNNNNNNNNNNNNNNNNNNNNNNNNNNNNNNNNNNNNNNNNNNNNNNNNNNNNNNNNNNNNNNNNNNNNNNNNNNNNNNNNNNNNNNNNNNNNNNNNNNNNNNNNNNNNNNNNNNNNNNNNNNNNNNNNNNNNNNNNNNNNNNNNNNNNNNNNNNNNNNNNNNNNNNNNNNNNNNNNNNNNNNNNNNNNNNNNNNNNNNNNNNNNNNNNNNNNNNNNNNNNNNNNNNNNNNNNNNNNNNNNNNNNNNNNNNNNNNNNNNNNNNNNNNNNNNNNNNNNNNNNNNNNNNNNNNNNNNNNNNNNNNNNNNNNNNNNNNNNNNNNNNNNNNNNNNNNNNNNNNNNNNNNNNNNNNNNNNNNNNNNNNNNGGCACGGGGCACGGCGGCACGGGCGGCGGCGAGCUUGGGCGGACAAGGCGGCCGCGGCGGCGAGUUCGCUAUGCCUGCUACGUGUUCGAAGAAAUGACGAGGACGGACAGCUGGUGAAAUGGGGUAAAAAUGGGGUAGCAGCGCUGCGUGCAGCGAAUUUGUCCGGCCUCUAUCCGGCGUUUUUUCUCCCUAUUUGAUGUUUUUUUAAUGUUUUUGCAUUUUUGAUGGUGUGUCACACCAUAGAAAUUGACAUUUUUAUGCCAAGCCACACCUGGAAUUGACCGUUUUUACAGUGGGUGACUUAGGGCAUCUCCAACACCGAUCUUUAAACCUUCCGCAACCGUUCGGAUUGCGUGGUCUGAACAUGUGUUGUCAUUCAACACGGUCCUGCAUCGGUCCACAGGCCGGUCUAGAUGUGCUUUUUCACGCACACUAGAGACAAAGUGAAAGGAAUUUUGCGGGCAUCCGGACCGCUGCCACGUCCACGUCUGGCAACCAUGUCUCACCCAAAAUCCUUCUCCCAUGCAUGCAUGCGUUCCCGCCCAUAACCAGCUGCUCGCAUUCAUGUCGUUGUAGACCGGCUACUCUGGAUUGACGCCGGCCCAAAGCGGACGGGACAUCUCACUUCCGGCAUUGAAGCGGCGCAUCGGUCGGGAGAAUGUCGCCCGCUACACGUCCGGCUGAACACGCCUUCUCGCCGCGUUCAAACGGGUGCAGAAUGCCUGCCUUCCUUCAUUAAACCCGCGCAUGAGCCGAGAAACCUACUCCGGCCACACGUCUGUACGCUAGCCGACCGGCAUUAAACACAACACCGGUUGGCUCCGAGUGUCCGCCCGCUAUUUAACGAUGCCAGGCGCCGGGCAAAAAAUUGCACCAUACCUCCACUCCCCAUCCGCUCCUUGCACCAUUUUCUCUACACUUUUCAUGGCAUCCGAUGUGCAGGAAGAUGAGUUCUCCGUUAUAAAAGCCGGUUGGGUGACCCGCCGGCCCACCGGAUACGAGUGAGGAAACUCUCAGCUCCACCUCUGUUGUUGCUCCAGGCCGUUGCAGGCUAGCUCGUGGAGGCGGCCGCUCCAAGCCGGCGCGUGGUUCAGCAACUCGUCACUUCAAGCCAGCACACAGGAGAGCACGGCGGCACGAGCAUGGUGGCUGCAAUGGACGAGGUCGUGUCGUACCGCUCUUUGCGUGCCUGCGAGCCUGCGACCGUGCCCUACUGACGGAGAAAGAAGCCGGCUUCGCGGAGAUCGAUGAGGCGGCGGCUAGCACGUCCGCGUCUGCCACCAUCAUCAAGAAGAAGUAGAACAUGAGAGGCCGCCGUCACUUGGGUCCCACGAAGGCCACCACCGCGGCGUGCGGCGUGCAUAGUCGGUGGCUUGCCUGCUCGCAGGCCACCAUCGUUCCCCCGCCCAAAAACCAACCCUCAUCCGUGCUCCACGAAAGCGGAGGACACCCUUACCCUCCGGCUUAAGCAUAUCGCUCUGGUGCCACUCCGAUGAGCGGUGCUGCCGGACAUGGGAAAGCAUAAGCUACUCUUGCCCUUUUCGCUGAAGUAUAUACUUCCGGAGCUCACGGCAGUUUGAUGAAUGGGUUGCCUGCCGGACAUGGGAACGCAUAGGCUACUCUUGCCCUUUUCGCUGAAGCAUAUACUUUCGGAGCUCACGGCAGUUUGAUGAAUGGGUUGCCGUACAUGGGAAAGUCAAGGAAGAUCCGUUGCAUCCGGCAUCUGGUUUGUAUGAAGUUCGUUCGAUUUGUUUUAAACAGUGUCUGAAAUGUAUGCAAGUAGCGUUGGAUAGCCAACUCCCACAUCCACGUCCAUAGGACUGUCCCCUAUACGCGAAGGAUGCACGAGCAAAUUUGCAGGCCAGCGUUGGAGAUGCCCUUAGGGCCACUGGCAUGUUGGGCCCACAUGUCUAGUGACCCAAAGUUAUCUUACGUUUAAAGUCAGCCAAUCUGAGCCCCUUCGUGUCAAAUGUGUGCUUAAAAAGCUGAGCGAGAUUGCCCGUGAAUGAGGCCACCACGUCAUUACAUUAUCACCAUCAAUUGCCUGUUUUUUCAAGGGCCAGCUCUGAAGAAGGAAACGGUGGAGAGGAAAACCACAAGUCAACAAAUCAUCAGUUCAAAAAGAAAAGAAAAAUAAACAAAUCAUAAUCGCCAUCACAAAUCAUUAUCUCCAUAACAUAAAUGUUGCUAUGUUGUGUCUGAAGAAAUACAUUACGACUCAGUCUGCACAAUCGCACGACAAACGAAUAGGAGGAGCAUCACAACGACGACCACGACUCAACGCUGCACUUUGCCAGCACCAUCAGUUUCUGAACGGCAAGCCGCCCGUCCCAACUCCAUCCAUGGAGCACACCAUCUUUCACCCUAGAGAGCCAUUACUCCAAUGGCUGAACUGCUGCCGUGCAAUGCACGAUCAAUCCCUGACUGGAGACGCGCUGCUCCGGUAUUCCGGAGCAU
rnacentral:lncRNA from 1 species